ACGGCAGCCAUCGCGCUUUGCAGUUCGGUCUCCUGGUGUACGGCCAACGCCAAGUAGGGGAUUGCGUUCUCUCCAGUCGCAGAGUUUCCCUCUUGUCGCCCAGGCUGGGGUGCAGUGGCACGAUCUCUGCUCACUGCAAUCUCCGCCUUCUGGGUUCCAGCGAUUCUCCUGUCUCAGCCUCCUGAGUAGCUGGGAUUACAGGCGCGUGCCACCACGCCCGGCUAAUUUUUGUGUGCGUGUUUUUUUGUUUUUUUUUUUUUUUUUGAGACGGAGUCUUCCCUCUGUCGCUCAGGCUGGAGUGAAGUGGCACGAUCUCGGCUCACUGCCAGCUGCGCCUCCCGGGUUCACGCCAUUCUCCUGGCUCAGCCUCCCGAGUAGCUGGGACUACAGGCGCCCGCCACCACGCCCGGCUAUUUUUUUUGUAUUUUUUAGUAGAGAUGGGGUUUCACUGUGUUAGCCAGGAUGGUCUCUAUCUCCUGACCUCGUGAUCCGCCUGCCUCGGCCUCCCAAAGUGCUGGGAUUAUAGGCGUGAGCCACCGCAGUGGGCCACUGUACUGAUUUUUAAGGUGUUGAAGCUUUUCCAAGAAGAUUUGUUUUAAAACAGCUAAAACUUUGACAUUGUUAGCUGAAAGAACCAAGUUGGUCAGCAAUUUAAGGUGUUUGGUACAGUGGACAAAAUGAGGUGAAGAAGUCCUUUUAACUUGAAAAAUUAAACCUAGUAUUAUUUA
rnacentral:sRNA from 1 species